UAAGGUUGUUUACAAAUAACGACGUGAAACGUGAUAUAAGAAGCUAGAUAAAUAUAUUUAUUUAUGAUAAUGAUACACAGUUAUUUAAAAAUUCAUUAAUAUUGUUGAUAUUUGACAUUCAGUUGUAGGUUUUCAUCGUUAAUGGAAUUAAUUUAGCGACGGUGUCCAAUAUGAUUUUUGCCCUGCAAAAAUAUCCUAACCAUAUAAAAUGAAUGACUAUUAUGACAGUUGGAAGUAUGGGGCUUUGAGAAUAUUCGAAUCAUUGAACAGUUCCAAUUAAAAUACUGUCUGAAUGAUGACGACCCCAGAGACAGACCUAGAUGUUGAGUUAAAGAUAAUGGCAGACGGAACAGUAUUGGAACAGAACAACACAGCCAAUGGCAUCGCUGGAGAGACUCCAGAAACACCAAGAAAAUGUCUGGCACUUCGCACAGCCUGUCACAGCUGUACUAAGCCAUUACGAACAAAGUACAAUCCCCUAGCAAGUGAUGCAACAAUGGGAGAGAAAUUUAAAUACACGUUCAUGUGCCCACCUCAUGGGAGAAUAGCAAAAUAUAUCAUGUUUGUAGUGAUGUUCUUUGUGUCCUGGGCGGUUCUGAUGUCAUUAACUGGAUCUGGAGGUCUCCCAGGUGGAAAUUUCUUCUCACUGGUUAUCAUGUUCUUUGCCUGUGUAGUAGGAGGAUACCUCGUUGUCUACGUCAAACUACCACCUCUUUUAGGAAUGUUGAUCAUAGGAUGUUUGUUACGUAAUGUACCUGGUAUCAGCAUAGUAGGCACAAACUUAGAUAAAAGUUGGUCAUCAGCAUUAAGACAGAUAGCAUUAACUGUGAUUCUGAUACGUGCUGGUCUUGGUUUGGACCCACAAGCCUUGAUGAAGCUGUCCUGGGCUGUCCUUAGACUGGCUUUUUCACCCUGUCUGGCUGAGUGUCUCGCAGAGGCUGUUGCUGCACACUUCCUACUUGGGUUUCCAUGGAUCUGGGGUAUUAUGCUCGGGUUUGUGUUGGCAGCAGUAUCACCAGCUGUUGUGGUACCAUCACUUCUUGGUCUGUCAGAUAGGGGUUACGGAAUUGACAAGGGAAUUCCAACACUGGUUAUAGCUGCAGCAAGUGUAGAUGAUGUCCUGGCUAUCACAGGAUUCGGUGUAUCACUGGGAAUUGCUUUUUCUACAGGUGACCUAGCACUAUCUAUAGUAAAGGGUCCUUUGGAGGCAAUAGCUGGUGUAGUAUAUGGUAUUGUGGGUGGAAUUCUUAUCUGGUAUAUACCAAACAGGGCUAGUCGACAUGUUGUGCUGUACCGUGCAUUCCUCUUGUUUGGUUUGGGACUGAUGGCAACAUUUGGCAGUAAUGCACUGCAUUUGUCAGGGGCUGGUCCCCUGGGCUGUCUUACUCUAGCUUUUGUCGCUGGAUUCAAGUGGAAAAAGGAAGAUUGGUCAGCUGAGGGUGGGGAACCAAUGAAAGAAAUAGUGUCUAUACUGUGGAUGAUAUUCCAGCCAUUGUUGUUUGGUCUGAUUGGUGCUGAAAUUGAUGUUCUAAAAAUAGACGUGGGAACAGUAGGUUUAGGUCUUGCCACUCUGGGUAUUGGACUUGUCAUCCGAUUGAUUGUGUCAUUUUUCGCAGUGUUUGGAACUGAUCUCAACAUUCGAGAAAGACUUUUCAUUCCUUUAGCGUGGUUCCCCAAAGCCACUGUACAGGCUGCUAUAGGAGCAGUAGCACUGGACACGGCACGUAAGAUGGACAGUGAGGAGGGUGAAGAAUUCGGCAAACAGAUUCUCACGUUAGCGGUACUAAGUAUAAUCAUCACAGCUCCAAUUGGUGCUGCAGCCAUAGCCAUAGCGGGACCAUUACUGUUACAGCAGUCAGACAGGGCCACCGAGACAGUUUACACAGUAGAUGAUGAUCAAGUUGAAGAACAAGGGAGUAUUUCAGUAAUUACCAGUUGAAACAAGUAAACUUCUACAAGAAAAGAAUGAGAAGGAAGAUGUCUGAGGACAAACAGGAAAGACUGAGCAAUGAAGAGUUUCUAGUCAAGUUAAGGUGAAGGCAGCAUCUACAAAAAUCAUAUUUACAAAGGAGCAUCUCUGUUAUGGACUUUUUUCAGCUGACAUAAACAAGAGGACUGUGAUCUCAUUUUAUUCAGUUGGCUGGUUAUGUCCCCAGACUUUCCAGUUUUUAUAUUCAAGUAAAGAAGAUAUAUUUUUAUUGGAUGAUAAUUACUGUAUCAGUUUAAAUUCUAGGUUACUAGAAUACAGGAUUUUUUUUAUUGGCAGUAAUCUGGGCAUUUUUUGUAUUUAUAUAUUUAUAAAAUUAUUACAAAUAAUAUGAUUGUUAUGAAAAGAGAUGUAUUUCUUUGCAUGCACAAAAAGCUAUUCAUUGUGUUGAAACAGUGUGACUUGACUUUAUGAUAUCAUAUAUUUGUGAAACAGUCUCCACCAUUAAGCACAAUUAAUACUUGGCCAAAACUUCUUAUUUUUACAUUGUUGCCAUUUUACAUACAGUGUUCCAGUAAGGUAUGUAAAGAAAUAAAAAAAAGAUUCACAAAUAUGCAGAAUAGAUCUCAGUCAUAUCUCACUUACAAAAUGUCAGAUUUGAUAGAUAUUAUUUGAAAUUAUAUUUACGUAAUCUGACAUGUAGCAGAUGAUGCAGAAUCCCCUACUAUAGAGGCAUGCAGCUGUCUGUACAUACAGUACCUUAUACUGUACCAUAUAAAUGUCCCCUACCCAAACCAAUUUGAAAAAAAAAAAAUUUACUUUCCUUCCGACUUUUUAUGCCCCCGAAGGGAGGCAUAUAGUUUUUGAACCGUUUGUCCGUCUGUUGGUCUGUCAGUCUGUCCGCAAUUUUCGUGUCCGGUCCAUAUCUUUGUCAUCGAUGGAUGGAUUUUCAAAUAACUUGGCAUGAAUGUGUACCACAGUAAGACGACGUGUCGCGCGCAAGACCCAGGUCCGUAGCUCAAAGGUCAAGGUCACACUGAGACAUUUAAGGAUAGUGCAUUGAUGGGUGUGUCCGGUCCAUAUCUUUGUCAUCGAUGGAUGGAUUUUCAAAUAACUUGGCAUGAAUAUGUACCACAGUAAGACGACGUGUCACGCGCAAGACCAAGGUCCGUAGCUCAAAGGUUAAGGUCACACUUAGACAUUAAAGGAUAGUGCAUUGAUGGGCGUGUCCGGUCCAUAUCUUUGUCAUCAAUGGAUGGAUUUUCAAAUCACAUGGCAUGAAUGUGUACCACAGUAAGAUGACGUGUCGCGCGCAAGACCCAGGUCCAUAGCUCAAAGGUCAAGGUCACAUUUAGACAUUAACGGAUAGUGCAUUGAUGGGCGUGUCUGGUCCAUAUCUUUGUCAUCGAUGGAUGGAUUUUCAAAUAACUUGGCAUGAAUGUGUACCACAGUAAGACAAUGUGUCACGCGCAAGACCAAGGUCCGUAGCUCAAAGGUCAAGGUCACACUUAGACAUUUAAAUAGUGCAUUGAUGGGCGUGCCCGGUCCAUAUCUCUGUCAUCCAUGGAUGGAUUUUCAAAUAACUUGGCAUGAAUGUGUACCACAGUAAGACGACGUGUCGCACGCAAGACCCAGGUCCGUAGCUCAAAGGUCAAGGUCACACUUAGACGUUAAAGGUCAUUUUUCAUGAUAGUGCAUUGAUUGGUGUGUCCGGGUCAUAUCUUUGUCAUUCAUGCAUGGAUUUUAAAAUAACUACGCAUGAAUGUGUGACACAAUAAGACGGAGUGUCGCGCGCAAGACCCAGUUCCGUAGGUCAAAGGUCCUAAACUCUAACAUCGGCCAUAACUAUAUAUUCAUUCAAAGUGCCAUCGGGGGCAUGUGUCAUCCUAUGGAGACAGCUCUUGUUUAUUUCAAAGAUAAAUCAAUAACAAUCACACUGUAAACCUUAAUAAACUUUAUCACAUGUUUGACGUUGCGGGAGUGUAAUAAAGCCAUUAAAUAAAAAUGAUAAUACACUAGUGUAAUAAAGCUUUGGCGUCGACAUCAUUUAUAGCGUUGGAGACAUUGGUCAAAUUGACUUGUUCAAUAGUAAAAGAAAGUAGAAUGUAUGAGUUUUCGACAGGAAAAGCUAACAUGUGAUAAACAGAAUAUUACAUUUGUGACUUUCCACAUUGAAUUUAUUAAACUCGUUGAAUAAAAUUGAUAAAAUGCUCGGCAGAGCCUCGCAUUUUAUUAUUUUAUUCGACUCGUUUAAUAAAUUCAAUAUGAAAAGACACUCAUGUAAUAUCCUCUAUAAAAAUAACAACUCCCUCUGUUCUGGGGCAUUUAAAUUAGGGUAUACAGCAUUUUUUCAAUUUGAUUGUGACAACUCUAUAUUUUAACUGGAAUGCAACAAGAUUUCAGUCAUUUUUUAUCCCCCCGCCAAAGGCGAAGGGGAUAUUAGAAAUGCUCUCCGUCCGUGCGUGCGUGCGUGCGUCCGUCCGCAACGAUCUUUGUCCGGAGCAUAACUCUAAAAGUACUGGAGGGAUUUUCUUCAAACUUUAUACACUGAUAGAACACAUUGGGAGGAAGUGCAGUGUGCAAGAACAAUAACUCUACCUUGCCUAUUUUUUGAGUUAUUCCCCUUUAUCAUAUUUUCUUUAAAAAAAUUGUCCGGAGCAUAACUCCAAAAGUACUGGAGGGAUUUUCUUCAAACUUCAUACACUGAUAAAACACAUUGGGAGGAAGUGCAGUGUGCAAGAACAAUAACUCUACCUUGCCUAUUUUUUGAGUUAUUCCCCUUUAUCCUAUUUUCUUAAAACAUUUUGUCCGGAGCAUAACUCCAAAAGUACUGGAGGGAUUUUCUUCAAACUUCAUACACUGAUAGAACACAUUGGGAGGAAGUGCAGUGUGCAAGAACAAUAACUCUGCCUGGCCUAUUUUUGAGUUAUUCCCCUUUAUCAUAUUUUCUUAAAACAUUGUGUCCGGAGCAUAACCCUAAAAGUACUGGAGGGAUUUUCUUCAAACUUCAUACACUGAUAGAACACAUUGGGAGGAUGUGCAGUGUGCAAGAACAAUAACUCUAACUUGCCUAUUUUUUGAGUUAUUCCCCUUUAUCAUAUUUUCUUAAAACAAUUUGUCCGGAGCAUGUCUUCUUCAUGCAUGGAGGGAUUUUGAUAUACAUGUAUCUUGGCACAAAUGUUUACCACCACGAGAUGGAGUGUCAUGCGCAAGAACCAGGUCCCUAGGUCUAAGGUCAAGGUCACACUUAGAGGUCAAAGGAUACAAGAAUGAAAACCUUGUCCAGAGCAUUUCUUCUUCAUGCAUAGAGGGAUUUUGAUAUAACUUGGCACAGAUGUUCACCACCAAGAGACGGAGUGUCAUGCGCAAGAUCCAGGUCACUAGGUCUUAGGUCAAGGUCACAGUUAGAGGCCAAAGGUCAGAUACAAGAAUGACUUUGUCCGAAGCAUUUCUUCUUCAUGCAUGGAGGGAUUUUGAUGUUACUUGGCACAAUUAAUUAUACACCAUCAUGAGACAAAUUGUCAUGCGCAGUUCCCUUCUUUAGAAUUACUUCCCUUUGUUGUACUAUAAAUAGCUUUUAUUGUAACUUUUUCAUUACUAGUCGUAGGGAAAAAUCGAGACCACUUUUCUGUAGUACAACAUGCAUGCUAUAUCCACAUUUGAGGUGUAUUUUGACCAAUUUCUACCUGAUAAAGAUUUUUGUGUGGACUUGCAUAUUUUUUUUUUUUUUUUUUUUAAGAUUAACUUUAAAACCCCUGUUACGGACCACAACUAAACGGUUCUUCAAAGCUUUCCCCAAAAUUAAUACUUGCCAGGAACUUUAGCCUUCAAUUAUAAUAUGCCCGGCGGGAGGAUUAGCCAUGUUUAACAUGGCUCUUGUUCUUCAAAAUUUAGAAUAACUAGCAUUUUUUACUGAUUGUUAAUAGAAAGAUUUAGCAAUAUAUGUAGGUUUUUAUAGACUGUUUAACAACGGAUAAAAAUUCAGAUGAGCAGGAAAUUAAAAUUAGGUGUUAAUUAGCCGGAGUGGUUAAAUAUCCAAGAAUUUUAACAAUGAACUGUGGUAAAUCAAGACAAUAAACCUUAAAAAGUCAUUGUUUAUUUUCAUUCUGACAUGCACAUUGUGAAAUGAAUAUAGAAAUUGUGCUUCCUUCGUAUUCAGGUAGUAAUGAAUUAUGCUUCCUUCAUGUGGCUAUUUGAAUUUGUCAUAAUUUAUGUCAUACUGUUCUCUCUCUGGUCCAUGCAUCAAACUUUGUUUAUUGCAUCAAACUUUGUUUAUUGCAGGAUAUACGUUUGACUUCCUUCUUUGUUUAAAAUCGACCCAUGUUAGAAUGUAAAAUAGAAGGAAUUCAACAGCUUUAUGCACUAUUUAUAGAUUAUCAUAUCAACAUACCUCCUGUGAUAUCAUUACAUUUUGUCCACAUGAAAUUUAAUUAUAUGAAAAGUUUUCAGAUCAUCUAGAAUGCGUAUUGGUUAACAACUGUGUUUCCUUGUAGUGAUUGUUGUUUAAAAGACAUAUGUUAACCUAUGUUUAACUAUUCAUUUUAUAAAACUGAGUUCUUUUGUAAAUAGAUUUUGAUUUUAAUUUGAUAUGUCAAUAAAACAUACCA